GGAACUAGAUGUGGGGACCAUUCCACGGUCUCCGUGUCGCAGCUAACGCAUUAAGUUUCCCCGCCUGGGGAGUACGGCCGCAAGGCUAAAACUCAAAGGAAUUGACGGGGGCCCGCACAAGCGGCGGAGCAUGCGGAUUAAUUCGAUGCAACGCGAAGAACCUUACCAAGGCUUGACAUAUACGAGAACGGGCUAGAAAUAGUCAACUCUUUGGACACUCGUAAACAGGUGGUGCAUGGUUGUCGUCAGCUCGUGUCGUGAGAUGUUGGGUUAAGUCCCGCAACGAGCGCAACCCUCGUUCUAUGUUGCCAGCACGUAAUGGUGGGAACUCAUAGGAGACUGCCGGGGUCAACUCGGAGGAAGGUGGGGAUGACGUCAAAUCAUCAUGCCCCUUAUGUCUUGGGCUUCACGCAUGCUACAAUGGCCGGUACAAAGGGCUGCAAUACCGUAAGGUGGAGCGAAUCCCAAAAAGCCGGUCUCAGUUCGGAUUGAGGUCUGCAACUCGACCUCAUGAAGUCGGAGUCGCUAGUAAUCGCAGAUCAGCAACGCUGCGGUGAAUACGUUCCCGGGCCUUGUACACACC
rnacentral:rRNA from 1 species